rnacentral:rRNA from 1 species
GACGAACGCUGGCGGCGUGCCUAAUACAUGCCAGUAGAACGCUGAAGGAGGAGCUUGCUCUUCUGGAUGAGUUGCGAACGGGUGAGUAACGCGUAGGUAACCUGCCUGGUAGCGGGGGAUAACUAUUGGAAACGAUAGCUAAUACCGCAUAACAGUAGAUGUUGCAUGACAUUUGCUUAAAAGGUGCAAUUGCACCACUACCAGAUGGACCUGCGUUGUAUUAGCUAGUUGGUGGGGUAACGGCUCACCAAGGCGACGAUACAUAGCCGACCUGAGAGGGGGGGCGGCCACACUGGGACUGGGACACGGCCCAGACUCCUACGGGAGGCAGCAGUAGGGAAUCUUCGGCAAUGGACGGAAGUCUGACCGAGCAACGCCGCGUGAGUGAAGAAGGUUUUCGGAUCGUAAAGCUCUGUUGUAAGAGAAGAACGAGUGUGAGAGUGGAAAGUUCACACUGUGACGGUAUCUUACCAGAAAGGGACGGCUAACUACGUG